AUGGGAGCGGGCAGAGAGGGGGUCAAGGAGAAGGGGGCUGUGAGAGGCAGUGCGUUUAGGGCCUUAGUGUCACUUGAGCAAGUGACUAAACUGCUCUGGGCCUGUUUUCUCUCGGACCCCCCGCAUGGAGGUUACAGCACCCACAGGUCAGGAUCGGCACUGGCUGCCGGCGGCACCAUCACAACUGAUCACAGCUGGUCAGCAGGGAGCCCAGGGGACAGGGCUGGCCCAGCCCCUUCCGAGUCCUUUCCAUUCCAAAUGCCCCUCCCCCAUCCUCUCCCCGCUGCCCCCACGCCUGCCCGGGGCAGGCCUGCGGCUGGCGGAGGCCGGGGUCCUGUCCACAGCUCUGUGUUGGACGUCUUCCGGCCAAAGCAGGAGCAAGGCCUCGGCGUGCCUGCUUCCCUGCAGCGGGCACCAGGCAGGUGCUGGUGGGUGAGGAGCUGGGGAGCAGGCCGGUGCGCAGUGACGGGGUGGGGGCGGGGUGGGGCUCUGAGCACAGUGCGGCUGUGUCCCAGGCACCCAGGGCCGAGAGGUCCCUCUCCACGUUGUGCAAGGCUCUGGCCGGGACUGGGUGGGGCCGGGUCCCAGGUGGGACUCUUGCCCCGCCCCGGCCUGCUGGCGCAGGGCAGAGGAGGGUGCAGCCAGGUGCUGCUCCCUGCGCGGGACGGGUGCUCCCGCCUGGGCGCCACUGCUGCCCCUCCCCGAGUCGCCGUUCUGCUGCAGCAGCUCAGGCCGAACCCUCAGUCACCCCUGGCUCUCCCCCUCCGUGAGUGCAUUCAGUGUGGGGUCACUGGACAGCACCGCCCUGCUCUGCCUGCUGCAAAGCCGCCUCAGUGGUGGUGGCCCUCCAGCGUCCUCCCGUCAGUGGUUGGACAGGCACACCAGGCAGCCCCUGAUGGCCUCCCUCCAGCCCAGCUGGCGGGAACAGACAUUGGGGACGCCAUCACGGCAAACAGGGUGGCGGCGCCUCGGGGGCUACAACAGACCCAGGGGACGACCCAGCAGCCCCCACUGGCAGGUGCACAUCCGCGGGAACCAGAGUUGUCUGCCCCAGAGGCAUCUGAGUGCGGCCCCUUCAUGCCAGCCCAGGCAUGGCUGGAGGCCGCCGGCUGCUGGCCACUGCCGGCCACUACACGGAAUAAGAAAGGGAGACACCCCAUCAGAGGCCACGCCACGGGAAAUGAGCCAGGAUUCCGUGCAGGUGAGACUGGGGGCCAGUGCCCCACCUCCUGUCCUGCACCUGUGACCUCCAGCGACCCUUCCCCGACACCUGCCACCCCUGGAAGUGUCCAGGACAGGCUACGAGAGCUGGUCCUCUUCAGCCUGGGAUGGGAGGACUCGGACCUUCUGGGCAGAGCUGCACAAGGGGCAGCAGAAUCCCAGCUCAGUGCAGGGAGAGGCGCUGGGAGGUGGCAGGCCUGGAGCAGCCGGGGGAGCAGCCCAGGGAGGCGCGAGGCGAGGGGGGGGCGCAGCCUGCACUCUGGGUGCAGCAGGAAUGACCCCCAGGCCCCUCUCAUGACUCAACUCCCACCCAGAGGCUUUUAA
rnacentral:lncRNA from 1 species